CAGGUGGGUCUGGCCUAAUCAGGUGAGACCUUAAAUUUAGACUUUUCUCUGGCUGAUGGCAGAAAAGGAAGUCAAAGAGAUACACUCCAGCUAGCCUGCAGGAAAGGAAACAUCCAUGUGUCAACUGCCAAGGUGAAUGCGCAGAUUGAAUCUCCUAGGGAAUCAUCUUGAAAAGAAGAAGGAUGCAAGUCUGCAGAAGUUUUAUGAAGAAUAGCAAAGCCAAGAAAUGGCACCAAAACAUCCACGAAUGAUUUGUCACAUCCCCAAGAAACAGAAAAGACCAAGGCUAGGGGACUUUGGCAAAGUUUUAGGAAGCUACUCUUAGUUCUAACCCACUCUUCACAGGACACACCCAUCAGAAGCAUAUAGUUCCUCGGCAAAUUGCUGGCAAAGCCUUGCCUCUAACGUAUGGGGUCUGAAAAACCU